rnacentral:tRNA from 1 species
UGGCACAAAGGAUUAAGCACUUGGCUGCUAACCAAAAGGUUGGUGGUUCAAAUCCACC